rnacentral:rRNA from 1 species
AUUGCGGCAGCUACCAUGCAAGUCGAGCGGAACGAGUUAUCUGAACCUUCGGGGGACGAUAACGGCGUCGAGCGGCGGACGGGUGAGUAAUGCCUAGGAAAUUGCCCUGAUGUGGGGGAUAACCAUUGGAAACGAUGGCUAAUACCGCAUGAUGCCUACGGGCCAAAGAGGGGGACCUUCGGGCCUCUCGCGUCAGGAUAUGCCUAGGUGGGAUUAGCUAGUUGGUGAGGUAAGGGCUCACCAAGGCGACGAUCCCUAGCUGGUCUGAGAGGAUGAUCAGCCACACUGGAACUGAGACACGGUCCAGACUCCUACGGGAGGCAGCAGUGGGGAAUAUUGCACAAUGGGCGCAAGCCUGAUGCAGCCAUGCCGCGUGUGUGAAGAAGGCCUUCGGGUUGUAAAGCACUUUCAGUCGUGAGGAAGGUAGUGUAGUUAAUAGCUGCAUUAUUUGACGUUAGCGACAGAAGAAGCACCGGCUAACUCCGUGCCAGCAGCCGCGGUAAUACGGAGGGUGCGAGCGUUAAUCGGAAUUACUGGGCGUAAAGCGCAUGCAGGUGGUUUGUUAAGUCAGAUGUGAAAGCCCGGGGCUCAACCUCGGAAUUGCAUUUGAAACUGGCAGACUAGAGUACUGUAGAGGGGGGUAGAAUUUCAGGUGUAGCGGUGAAAUGCGUAGAGAUCUGAAGGAAUACCGGUGGCGAAGGCGGCCCCCUGGACAGAUACUGACACUCAGAUGCUAAAUCGUGGUGGAGUAAACAGGAUUAGAUACCCUGGUAGUCCACGCCGUACCGAAUGUCUAUCUUGGAUGUUGUGGCCUACUAGCCGGGUCUUUC